AGCGAACGCUGGCGGCAGGCCUAACACAUGCAAGUCGAACGAAGUCUUCGGACUUAGUGGCGGACGGGUGAGUAACACGUGGGAACGUACCUUUUGGUUCGGAACAACUCAGGGAAACUUGAGCUAAUACCGGAUGAGCCCUUAGGGGGAAAGAUUUAUCGCCGAAAGAGCGGCCCGCGUUAGAUUAGCUAGUUGGUGAGGUAAAGGCUCACCAAGGCUACGAUCUAUAGCUGGUCUGAGAGGAUGAUCAGCCACACUGGGACUGAGACACGGCCCAGACUCCUACGGGAGGCAGCAGUGGGGAAUCUUGCGCAAUGGGCGAAAGCCUGACGCAGCCAUGCCGCGUGAAUGAUGAAGGUCUUAGGAUUGUAAAAUUCUUUUACCAGGGCCGAUAAUGCCGGUAGUCGGAGAAGAAGCCCGGCUAACUUCGUGCCAGCAGCCGCGGUAACGC
rnacentral:rRNA from 1 species